rnacentral:rRNA from 1 species
GAUGAACGCUGGCGGCGUGCCUAAUACAUACAAGUCGAGCGAACGGACGAGAAGCUUGCUUCUCUGAUGUUAGCGGCGGACGGGUGAGUAACACGUGGAUAACCUACCUAUAAGACUGGGAUAACUUCGGGAAACCGGAGCUAAUACCGGAUGAUAUUUUGAACCGCAUGGUUCAAAAGUGAAAGACGGUCUUGCUGUCACUUAUAGCUGGAUCCGCGCUGCAUUAGCUAGUUGGUAAGGUAACGGCUUACCAAGGCAACUAUGCAUAGCCGACCUGAGAGAGGGAUCGGCCACACUGGAGCUGAGACACGGUCCAGACUCCUACGGUAGGCAGCAGUAGGGAAUCUGCCGCAAUGGGCGGAAGCCUGACGGAGCAACGCGGCGUGAGUGAUGAAGGUCUUCGGAUCGUAAAACUCUGUUAUUAGGGAAGAACAUAUGUGUAAGUAACUGUGCACAUCUUGACGGUACCUAAUCAGAAAGCCACGGCUAACUACGUG